rnacentral:rRNA from 1 species
UACGUAGGGUGCGAGCGUUAAUCGGAAUUACUGGGCGUAAAGUGUGCGCAGGCGGCGUUGCAAGUCGAGUGUGAAAUCCCUCAGCUUAACUGGGGAACUGCGUCUGAUACUGGAUGGCUUGGAUUUGGGAGAGGGAUGCGGAAUUCCAGGUGUAGCGGUGAAAUGCGUAGAUAUCUGGAGGAACACCGGUGGCGAAGGCGGCAUCCUGGACCAAUAUUGACGCUGAGGAGCGAAAGCCAGGGGAGCAAACGGG